UAUCUGCAGUCGAGCGGUCCCUUCGGGGAUAGCGGCGGACGGGUGAGUAACACGUAGGUAACCUGCCUGUAAGACUGGGAUAACUAUCGGAAACGAUAGCUAAGACCGGAUAACUGGUUUUCUCGCAUGAGAGAAUCAUGAAACACGGAGCAAUCUGUGGCUUAUAGAUGGGCCUGCGGCGCAUUAGCUAGUUGGUGAGGUAACGGCUCACCAAGGCGACGAUGCGUAGCCGACCUGAGAGGGUGAACGGCCACACUGGGACUGAGACACGGCCCAGACUCCUACGGGAGGCAGCAGUAGGGAAUCUUCCGCAAUGGACGCAAGUCUGACGGAGCAACGCCGCGUGAGUGAUGAAGGUUUUCGGAUCGUAAAGCUCUGUUGCCCUAGACGAACAGCAUCAGGAGUAACUGCCUGGUGUGUGACGGUAUAGGAGAAGAAAGCCCCGGCUAACUACGUGCCAGCAGCCGCGGUAAUACGUAGGGGGCAAGCGUUGUCCGGAAUUAUUGGGCGUAAAGCGCGCGCAGGCGGUUAAUUAAGUUGGGUGUUUAAGCCCGGGGCUCAACCCCGGUUCGCAUCCAAAACUGGUUGACUUGAGUGUAGGAGAGGAAAGUGGAAUUCCACGUGUAGCGGUGAAAUGCGUAGAGAUGUGGAGGAACACCAGUGGCGAAGGCGACUUUCUGGCCUAUAACUGACGCUGAGGCGCGAAAGCGUGGGGAGCAAACAGGAUUAGAUACCCUGGUAGUCCACGCCGUAAACGAUGCAUACUAGGUGUUGGGGAUUCGAUUCCUCGGUGCCGAAGUUAACACAGUAAGUAUGCCGCCUGGGGAGUACGCUCGCAAGAGUGAAAACUCAAAGGAAUUGACCGGGGACCCGCAC
rnacentral:rRNA from 1 species